UAACGCUGUAUUUAAAAAAAACUUACUUGAGAAACAUCUGAUUUACGAAAUAUGCAUACAGCUUCAAUGCUUCAGUCUCGAAAUCAGCGGACAGCGGGGCGCGAGCGGCGGCGCUGCGUUCCAAUCUUAUAUGAAGACGCCAAUAACAAAACUACACAGUAUUAAAUGGUAUACGAGUAAGGAAGGAUAAAAGAUAUACCAAAUUCUGUGAUUUUCUGAAAACGCGCACUUCUGAACGCGCCGUUAUGGCCGAUUUACACGGGCGACUAAAGCCGCAAAAUCGACCGUGUAAAUGACAAUUCGACUACGCUGCAUGCGGCUAAAGUCGCAAGCCCCAAAGUCGGGCGGCCACUGGCCGCAUGCGGCUGGUGACCGUGCAAACGCUCACCCGCAAGCGAUCGCUAGCUGCGAAUACUACUAUUGACUUGCCGGGUGACUUAAAUAGACCCGUUAGUCA